GGGGACGUGGCGGAAUUGGUAGACGCGCGGGUCUCAAAAACCCGUUACCUUACGGUAGUGUGGGUUCGAUUCCCACCAUCCCCACCA
rnacentral:tRNA from 2 species